ACCGCAAUAUUCCCCUUGGCUGACAUUAAAGCCAUAAGAAUGAAACACAAUGUGCACCUCGCAUCAGUUAUGAUUGCUGUAGUGGCCGGUGGAAUUCGACGAUUUCUGCAAAAAUAUGAGAAACCACUCCCCAAAAAAAUUUCUAUCCUAUCGCCCCUAACCAUGCCGGGUGGCCCAGACAGAUUGACCAAUCACGUCCGUAUUUGUUAUCCCGAUCGUGGAACCCGACCAUGUCAAAAGGUUGCGAGAAAUAGCUGCAACCUUUUCCGCAUACCGGACUAUGAGCAUUUUAUCGCUGACUCACAUAAUUGGAAAAUCUUUUGGAUUGUUUCCUCAAUUUUUAUUGAUAGCGUACAAAAACUUGUUUUCGUAUCCGCCCGUCUAUUUCUCUAAUUUGUUUGGCCCUGCAGAUCAAAUUUUUCUAGAUGAGAUUCCAGUUACAGAAAUUAACAUAGGGGUCAAUCUACCCAUAAAUGCGCCACGAGGAUUUUGCUUCUCAUUUCUCACAUAUGCAGGAAAAGCUUAUUUACGAGUUUCUGCAUUCAACGAAUACCUGGAAACAAAUCAACAUGCCGAGGAAAUUUUGGAAUAUUGCAGGGACGAGUUGAUGGAGUUAGCGUUGAAAUAAAAUUUAUACUUAAAAAAAUUUAAAAUACCUUUCAUUAUGAAUGUAUACCUAGCGUUAUUACAGAAGUGAGCC